rnacentral:rRNA from 1 species
UGCGUAGGUGGUUUCUUAAGUCAGGAGUGAAAGGCUACGGCUUAACCGUAGUAAGCUCUUGAAACUGGGAAACUUGAGUGCAGGAGAGGAAAGUGGAAUUCCUAGUGUAGCGGUGAAAUGCGUAGAUAUUGGGAGGAACACCAGUGGCGAAGGCGCCUUUCUGGACUGUGUCUGACGCUGAGAUGCGAAAGCCAGGGUAGCGAACG